CUCAGAUUGAACGCUGGCGGCAGGCCUAACACAUGCAAGUCGAGCGGAAACGAGUUAUCUGAACCUUCGGGGAACGAUAACGGCGUCGAGCGGCGGACGGGUGAGUAAUGCCUAGGAAAUUGCCCUGAUGUGGGGGAUAACCAUUGGAAACGAUGGCUAAUACCGCAUAACGCCUAUGGGCCAAAGAGGGGGACCUUCGGGCCUCUCGCGUCAGGAUAUGCCUAGGUGGGAUUAGCUAGUUGGUGAGGUAAGGGCUCACCAAGGCGACGAUCCCUAGCUGGUCUGAGAGGAUGAUCAGCCACACUGGAACUGAGACACGGUCCAGACUCCUACGGGAGGCAGCAGUGGGGAAUAUUGCACAAUGGGCGCAAGCCUGAUGCAGCCAUGCCGCGUGUAUGAAGAAGGCCUUCGGGUUGUAAAGUACUUUCAGCAGUGAGGAAGGGCGGUACGUUAAUAGCGUAUUGUCUUGACGUUCCCUACAGAAGAAGCACCGGCUAACUCCGUGCCAGCAGCCGCGGUAAUACGGAGGGUGCGAGCGUUAAUCGGAAUUACUGGGCGUAAAGCGCAUGCAGGUGGUUUGUUAAGUCAGAUGUGAAAGCCCGAGGCUCAACCUCGGAAGGUCAUUUGAAACUGGCAAACUAGAGUACUGUAGAGGGGGGUAGAAUUUCAGGUGUAGCGGUGAAAUACGUAGAGAUCUGAAGGAAUACCAGUGGCGAAGGCGGCCCCCUGGACAGAUACUGACACUCAGAUGCGAAAGCGUGGGGAGCAAACAGGAUUAGAUACCCUGGUAGUCCACGCCGUAAACGAUGUCUACUUGGAGGUUGUGGCCUUGAGCCGUGGCUUUCGGAGCUAACGCGUUAAGUAGACCGCCUGGGGAGUACGGUUGCAAGGUUAAAACUCAAAUGAAUUGACGGGGGCCCGCACAAGCGGUGGAGCAUGUGGUUUAAUUCGAUGCAACGCGAAGAACCUUACCUACUCUUGACAUCUACAGAAUCCAGCGGAGACGCCGGAGUGCCUUCGGGAACUGUAAGACAGGUGCUGCAUGGCUGUCGUCAGCUCGUGUUGUGAAAUGUUGGGUUAAGUCCCGCAACGAGCGCAACCCUUAUCCUUGAUUGCCAGCACGUAAUGGUGGGAAAACUCUAGGGAGACUGCCGGUGAUAAACCGGAGGAAGGUGGGGACGACGUCAAGUCAUCAUGGCCCUUACGAGUAGGGCUACACACGUGCUACAAUGGCGCAUACAAAGCGUUGCGAAGCCGCGAGGUCGAGCCAAUCCCAAAAAGUGCGUCGUAGUCCGGAUUGGAGUCUGCAACUCGACUCCAUGAAGUCGGAAUCGCUAGUAAUCGUAGAUCAGAAUGCUACGGUGAAUACGUUCCCGGGCCUUGUACACACCGCCCGUCACACCAUGGGAGUGGGCUGCACCAGAAGUAGAUAGCUUAACCUUCGGGAGAACGCU
rnacentral:rRNA from 1 species